rnacentral:rRNA from 1 species
CACAUGCAGUCGAGCGGAUGACAGGAGCUUGCUCCUGAAUUCAGCGGCGGACGGGUGAGUAAUGCCUAGGAAUCUGCCUGGUAGUGGGGGACAACGUUUCGAAAGGAACGCUAAUACCGCAUACGUCCUACGGGAGAAAGCAGGGGACCUUCGGGCCUUGCGCUAUCAGAUGAGCCUAGGUCGGAUUAGCUAGUUGGUGAGGUAAUGGCUCACCAAGGCGACGAUCCGUAACUGGUCUGAGAGGAUGAUCAGUCACACUGGAACUGAGACACGGUCCAGACUCCUACGGGAGGCAGCAGUGGGGAAUAUUGGACAAUGGGCGAAAGCCUGAUCCAGCCAUGCCGCGUGUGUGAAGAAGGUCUUCGGAUUGUAAAGCACUUUAAGUUGGGAGGAAGGGUUGUAGAUUAAUACUCUGCAAUUUUGACGUUACCGACAGAAUAAGCACCGGCUAACUCUGUGCCAGCAGCCGCGGUAAUACAGAGGGUGCAAGCGUUAAUCGGAAUUACUGGGCGUAAAGCGCGCGUAGGUGGUUCGUUAAGUUGGAUGUGAAUCCCCGGGCUCAACCUGGGAACUGCAUUCAAAAC